CCUACGGGGGGCAGCAGUGGGGAAUAUUGCACAAUGGGCGCAAGCCUGAUGCAGCCAUGCCGCGUGUGUGAAGAAGGCCUUCGGGUUGUAAAGCACUUUCAGCGGGGAGGAAGGCGGUGAGGUUAAUAACCUCAUCGAUUGACGUUACCCGUAGAAGAAGCACCGGCUAACUCCGUGCCAGCAGCCGCGGUAAUACGGAGGGUGCAAGCGUUAAUCGGAAUUACUGGGCGUAAAGCGCACGCAGGCGGUCUGUCAAGUCGGAUGUGAAAUCCCCGGGCUCAACCUGGGAACUGCAUUCGAAACUGGCAGGCUAGAGUCUUGUAGAGGGGGGUAGAAUUCCAGGUGUAGCGGUGAAAUGCGUAGAGAUGUGGAGGAACACCAGUGGCGAAGGCGGUUCUCUGGCCUGUAACUGACGCUGAGGCGCGAAAGCGUGGGGAGCGAACAGGAUUAGAUACCCUAGUAGUC
rnacentral:rRNA from 1 species